AUUUUUGAAGAAGCUGAUAACUUGUAAUGAAAAGUGGAUCUCGUACGACAAGAACGUGCGAAAAAGAUCGUGUUCAAAGGCCGGUCAGGCUUGACA